CCCGGCUAAAGCCCCGACGGGAGGGGAUGGCUCCGCGGCCCAUCAGGUAGACGGCGGGGUGACGGCCCACCGUGCCGACAACGGGUAGCCGGGUUGAGAGACCGACCGGCCAGAUUGGGACUGAGACACGGCCCAGACUCCUACGGGAGGCAGCAGUGGGGAAUCUUGCGCAAUGGGGGGAACCCUGACGCAGCGACGCCGCGUGCGGGACGGAGGCCUUCGGGUCGUAAACCGCUUUCAGCAGGGAAGAGUCAAGACUGUACCUGCAGAAGAAGCCCCGGCUAACUACGUGCCAGCAGCCGCGGUAAUACGUAGGGGGCGAGCGUUAUCCGGAUUCAUUGGGCGUAAAGCGCGCGUAGGCGGCCCGGCAGGCCGGGGGUCGAAGCGGGGGGCUCAACCCCCCGAAGCCCCCGGAACCUCCGCGGCUUGGGUCCGGUAGGGGAGGGUGGAACACCCGGUGUAGCGGUGGAAUGCGCAGAUAUCGGGUGGAACACCGGUGGCGAAGGCGGCCUUCUGGGCCGAGACCGACGCUGAGGCGCGAAAGCUGGGGGAGCGAACAGGAUUAGAUACCCUGGUAGUCCCAGCCGUAAAAGGAGGGACGCUAGGUGUGGGGGGACGAAUCCCCCCCGUGCCGCAGCCAACGCAUUAAGCGUCCCGCCUGGGGAGUACGGCCGCAAGGCUAAAACUCAAAGGAAUUGACGGGGGCCCGCCCAAGCAGCGGAGCAUGUGGCUUAAUUCGAAGCAACGCGAAGAACCUUUCCAGGGCUUGACAUAUGGGUGAAGCGGGGGAGACCCCGUGGCCGAGAGGAGCCCAUACAGGUGGUGCAUGGCUGUCGUCAGCUCGUGUCGUGAGAUGUUGGGUUAAGUCCCGCAACGAGCGCAACCCCCGCCGCGUGUUGCCAUCGGGUGAUGCCGGGAACCCACGCGGGACCGCCGCCGUCAAGGCGGAGGAGGGCGGGGACGACGUCAAGUCAUCAUGCCCCUUAUGCCCUGGGCUGCACACGUGCUACAAUGGCCGGUACAGAGGGAUGCCACCCCGCGAGGGGGAGCGGAUCCCGGAAAGCCGGCCCCAGUUCGGAUUGGGGGCUGCAACCCGCCCCCAUGAAGUCGGAGUUGCUAGUAAUCGCGGAUCAGCAUGCCGCGGUGAAUGCGUUCCCGGGCCUUGCAC
rnacentral:rRNA from 1 species